rnacentral:rRNA from 1 species
UACGAAGGGGGCUAGCGUUGUUCGGAAUCACUGGGCGUAAAGCGCACGUAGGUGGACUUUCAAGUCAGGGGUGAAAUCCCGGGGCUCAACCUCGGAACUGCCUUUGAUACUGUUGGUCUUGAGUCCGGAAGAGGUGAGUGGAAUUCCUAGUGUAGAGGUGAAAUUCGUAGAUAUUAGGAAGAACACCGGUGGCGAAGGCGGCUCACUGGUCCGGUACUGAUACUGAGGUGCGAAAGCGUGGGGAGCAAACAGG